rfam:Schistosoma curassoni strain Dakar, Senegal genome assembly, scaffold: SCTD_scaffold0019021
AUUCAACUGAUGAGUCCCAAAUAGAACGAAACGUGAGUCCUGGAC